rnacentral:rRNA from 1 species
UACGUAGGUGGCAAGCGUUGUCCGGAUUUACUGGGCGUAAAGAGCGCGCAGGCGGUCGUUCAAGUCGCGUGUGAAAGCCCCCGGCUCAACUGGGGAGGGUCACGCGAUACUGAUCGACUCGAAGGCAGGAGAGGGUAGUGGAAUUCCCGGUGUAGUGGUGAAAUGUGUAGAGAUCGGGAGGAACACCGGUGGCGAAGGCGGUCUUCUGGACGGUGACUGACGCUGAGGCGCGAAAGCGUGGGGAGCAAACGGG